AGACGUGAGGGCGAUCUGGCUGCGACAUCUGUCACCCCAUGGAUCACCAGGGUUGAUUUGGCUGAUCUGGCUGGCUAGGCGGGUGUCCCCUUCCUCCCUCACUGCUCCAUGUGUGUCCCUCCCAAAGCUGCACAUUGAAGAGGACGGCCUUCCCCGAAUAGAGACAGACUGGUCUUGGGUUGAGGGUAUACGUAGCUGCAUUCCCCUGCUAGAACCUCCAAACGAGCUCUCAAACUGGUCUCAUUUUAUUGAAAAUCUGUCUGAUGAUAAUGCAGAACAUGAGAAACAAACCUACUCUAU
ensembl:misc_RNA 7SK 7SK RNA